AAAACAAAACAAAGCUUUAGUAGAAACUUCCUUAAGCAAAGCCACUCUGCUCUGCUCUGCUCUGUUCUGUUCUGUUCUGUUCUUCGACCUUUCUCUUCUUCGCCCUUCUUCAUGCUCUGAUCUUCCUCUCUUGCUACAAAUUUUGCGAAGCCCUUCACUUUCUAGUCAUGGUUGCAGGGCAUGCAGCGGAGCAUCACUCUCCUCAGCUUUGGUUCUUCGCUCUCUCUCUCUCUCUCUCUCUCUCCUCUCGAGGCUGGGGUUUUAUGAAAUCUCUGUCUCCGCGGAUCCUCGUGCUUCCUAGUUUGUUAGUGAUGGAUUAGCAUGCCAAUUUCAGCGGCCUCAGGUGCUAAGAACUUUCUCUAUAUUUUCUCCAGGAUCUUGAUCUUAAAAAACCAGGCGUACGUGGACCUUUAAGGCCAGAGUUUGAAGUAACUACUGAGGAGGUUCUAAGAAAAGCAGAUUUCAGGGUGAGCAUACCUAGUUAGCAUACCUUAAUAUUUGUGAUUCCCAUCUUAUGAUAAGGGUUGCCUGAGUUGCAUUCUGAGUGUGAAAAUGGUAGUGUAUCAUUUGACUUGGUACAGAGGAAUUUAUUACAACCCUUUUUUUCUCUAAGUUACCAACUUUUACCAAUGCCGACUCCCGAUUUGGAAGGUUGGAACUUUUACAACCCUUGAUCGUUGUCUUUUCGUGUGCAUAAAUAUUGCGCUGCAUGCAAUUGUAGACUUCUUUUUAGCCCCACCGGCUGUUGCACUGUAUCUGCUUUUCAAGAAAGUUCUUGUUUUAUUUAUCUUAAUCAAUUCUUGAAUGGUGUUUUAUUAA